UCUGCUGCUGGAAACAAAUUAGAAAAGAAAGAAAGAGAGAGAGAGAGAGAGAGAGCACGGCUGAGAGAGACCAAGAGGAAGAAAGAAAAGGGAAGAACAAAGUCUUGUGGGAUAUCAAAACUCAAGCUAAAAAUUAUGGAAAACUCAUCAUGAUGUCGGACGCCGAACCAUUAGUACGUGUACCGAGGUGCCCACUGUGGCCAGGCACCAGAUCAAAGUUAGAGGCGUCGACCCGAACCCUUGUUUUGUCAAGCCAGCUAUUGUCCCUCAUUGCGAGGUUUUGAACUAGCAUGUGUCAAGGUGUUUUUUGGUGGCUCGACUUCACCUUUUUGAGUUUGUUAAGUGAAAAGAAUGUUUUAAGACUAAUGCCAAUACUGUUCCAGAUGAUGGGAUUGAUUCCCUAACUUAUGUUUUGUCUUGUAUAUAUAUGCUUAUGGGCAUAAAUGGUUAUGAAUAUGGCUAUGUACAUGAAAGUUUAUCUCCA